rnacentral:rRNA from 1 species
AUUGAACGCUGGCGGCAGGCCUAACACAUGCAAGUCGAGCGGAUGAGGGAAGCUUGCUUCCCGAUUUAGCGGCGGACGGGUGAGUAAUGCCUAGGAAUCUGCCUAUUAGUGGGGGAUAACGUUCCGAAAGGAACGCUAAUACCGCAUACGUCCUACGGGAGAAAGUGGGGGAUCUUCGGACCUCACGCUAAUAGAUGAGCCUAGGUCGGAUUAGCUAGUUGGUGGGGUAACGGCUCACCAAGGCGACGAUCCGUAGCUGGUCUGAGAGGAUGAUCAGCCACACUGGAACUGAGACACGGUCCAGACUCCUACGGGAGGCAGCAGUGGGGAAUAUUGGACAAUGGGCGAAAGCCUGAUCCAGCCAUGCCGCGUGUGUGAAGAAGGUCUUCGGAUUGUAAAGCACUUUAAGUUGGGAGGAAGGGUUGUAAGCUAAUAUCUUGCAGCUUUGACGUUACCAACAGAAUAAGCACCGGCUAACUCUGUGCCAGCAGCCGCCGUAACAC